UACGUAGGUGGCAAGCGUUGUCCGGAAUUACUGGGCGUAAAGGGCGUGUAGGCGGCUUUUUAAGUCAGGCGUGAAAUCUCUGGGCUUAACCCAGAAAUUGCGUUUGAAACUGGAAGGCUUGAGGACCGGAGAGGGUAGUGGAAUUCCCAGUGUAGCGGUGAAAUGCGUAGAUAUUGGGAGGAACACCAGUGGCGAAGGCGACUGCCUGGACGGCACCUGACGCUGAGGCGCGAAAGCUAGGGGAGCAAACGGG
rnacentral:rRNA from 1 species